rnacentral:rRNA from 1 species
AUGGACGACUUCGCGAGGUCACUGGAGGUCGAUCUUGAAAUGGCAGAGGACCAAAGCACCAUCCAGCAAGGAGGCCACCAGAGCACGAGCGGGUCGGAGUCCCAGCCGCCGGAGGUCGACAUGAGCGACUUGUUGAGCUGGUUUGAUGCUGACGCAGAAGAGUUGGCAGAGACAAGGGAACACGUCCAAGAUGAACAAGAAGACCAGCCUGAGCAUGCGAGGUCACUGGAAGGCUUGGUGGCUGACGAGCGAGGAGACGACGUGAUAGCACAAGACCUGUUCAAUGCGCUCAACAGCAUCGGCAAUGGCGAUGAUCUGAUCAGCGACGGUGGAGACACGGACGAUUGGCUCAGCCUGCCUCUUUCAGCCUACAAUGGCAUCAUGUACUAA